GUUGUUGUUGUUGUUGUUGUCGUGGGCGUUAUUACCAGUAACAACAUGCCACUGAGUUGGCUUUUAUUUUGCAUCACUCAGAGAGAGGAAAUGGUUAGAACUAGUUUUAGCGAUGUUGUUCCACAAUCUGUUCCCGCUACAAUUGUUGCUCUGUAUGUGUCCUGUGUAUCUCAUUCCCCUAUCCUAUUCACUGAGGUUCUCCUAAAAGGCUUUUGGAAUUUUUCCAAAAAUCUUCGACAAUGUUAGUUGAUCUAGAUUUUGGAACCACAAAGAACACUUAAAGGGAAAGAAACAAAUAUCUCAAAAUACUUUCGUUACUUCUCAAUUGUCAAUAACAUUAAUAAUAAUCUCUAUCAAAGUACUUGCAUGGUAUACAUAUUUAUAGUAUCCCAAAAUAAGAAAAUAUGGAACUAAUACAAAUUAGGAAUAUUAAAUCAACUCAAACUUCUAAAUAAGCAAAAUACUACUGCCAAAUUAAAUUUUCAAAAUUUCUUUCUAAAAUAUGUAGAAAGUUUUUGAGCACUUUAUCAUCUUUGAGGUGUCGACAUAUGAGUGUGCACACACACACACAUGCACACAUUUAAACCUGAAUCCUUUUUUCAGUAUAUAUUUGGUUCUUAAUGAGUAUGAGAGUGAGUUCUGGGAAGGAGUGGUGAAAAUUUUUUAGAUGCUUAGUAUAUUUUUGAGAAAAAAAAAUUUUGUGCAUAUUGUGUUGAUUUUGCAUAUAAAUUUAAGAUCUGAAUAUUUAAACUAACAAGUGACGAUGACUGAUGAAUUUUACAGUUCAAUGAUGAUGUAUACGUACCAACAGAUGAACCGCAUGGAACAAUAGAAGCUACUUUGAGCCGUACCUGGUCAAAGAUGUAGAACCUAUUUGCACAAAUGACCUAUGGGUAGAUGCCAUAGUGUUCCUAUCAUGGUUAUUCACCUUUCAGCUUUGUUUUCGAAAUAAUAAGUGGGACUCUGGAAAUGUAUUAUGUACAUAUGAUGGUCAUGUUAUGAAACAUUUGUAUUUGGACGCACAGGAUGUUUUCUUUAGCAAUAAAAUCAUCUUAUUAU
rnacentral:misc_RNA from 1 species